UACGGGGGGGGCAAGCGUUGUUCGGAUUUAUUGGGCGUAAAGGGUGCGUAGGCGGCGGAGUAAGUUGGGUGUGAAAUCCCGAGGCUCAACCUCGGAAUUGCAUUCAAUACUGCUUCGCUCGAGUACUGGAGAGGAGGCUGGAAUUUACGGUGUAGCAGUGAAAUGCGUAGAUAUCGUAAGGAAGGCCGGUGGCGAAAGCGAGCCUCUGGACAGUUACUGACGCUGAUGCACGAAGGCCAGGGGAGCAAACGGG
rnacentral:rRNA from 1 species